rnacentral:rRNA from 1 species
UACGGGGGGAGCAAGCGUUGUUCGGAUUUACUGGGCGUAAAGGGCUCGUAGGCGGCCAACUAAGUCGGAUGUGAAAUCCCCAGGCUUAACCUGGGAAUUGCAUCCGAUACUGGAUGGCUUGAAUCCGGGAGAGGGAUGCGGAAUUCCAGGUGUAGCGGUGAAAUGCGUAGAUAUCUGGAGGAACACCGGUGGCGAAGGCGGCAUCCUGGACCGGCAUUGACGCUGAGGAGCGAAAGCCAGGGGAGCAAACGGGG